rnacentral:rRNA from 1 species
AGAAUCAACGCUGGCGGCGUGCCUAACACAUGCAAGUCGAACGCGAAAGUCCCGCAAGGGAUGAGUAGAGUGGCAAACGGGUGAGUAACACGUGGGUGACCUGCCUUCGAGUGGGGGAUAACGUCCCGAAAGGGACGCUAAUACCGCUUAAUAUGCCGCCUUUUAACAGGUGGACAUCAAAGCUGGGGAUCGCAAGACCUAGCGCUUGAAGAGGGGCCCGCGUCUGAUUAGCUAGUUGGUGGGGUAAUGGCUCACCAAGGCAACGAUCAGUA